GGAGCCUAAGAUCUGCUGACAUUGUUGAGCUCCUGAAUGAAUGCCAGCUACCAAGUUGCAGCAUGACUCAUAUCUUUACUUCCAACUUUCAUUUCUUUCUUCAGGCUUAUAUUACUAAGAGGUCAUGACUAAUCUCACUUAACGAAGUAUUCCUGUCAAAGCUUUUAGCCAUUUGCCUUUGCAGACAGUUUAGACAUUUUACUUGGAGCAGAGAAUAGUUGAUUUUGUGCUAAAAGUCUUCCUAGCAGAGACUCUUCCUGGCUUCAGAUGAUAUCAAUGACCUUAAUGUUCAGCUUGUGGCAUAGAAUUCCAGAACUCUGGAAACAGCAAUGCAACAACAGAAAAUGAUUCGGGAAAGAGCUUCUUUAAGAUCACUUACUUUGAGGGAAGCCAGCUACUAUGUUGUGAAGCCCACAUGGUGAGAAACUGAGGCCUCCUGCCAACAGUCAUUUGAGUCAAGCCUUCAGAUGACUGGUGCCUUGGCCAAAAUCCUGACUGCAACCUCAUGAAGAACUCUGACGACAAAUUGCCCAGUAAAGCUGCUCCCGAAUUCCUGAUCCACAAUUAAUAUGAGA
rnacentral:lncRNA from 1 species